rnacentral:misc_RNA from 1 species
AAAGAAUGUGUAUGUUUUACUGAAAGAAGGGGCACGAUCUCCAAUAAAUUCCGCAACUAUUUUUUUGAAGUGUAAUUGGCAAAGGGAGAAAGAGAGAACGAGAGAGAGAGAGAAAGAAGGAGAGAGGGGCCUACAGAAAACAAACACUACUGGCUGCUUAGGUCGGGAAGAUGCAAUCGAUAGAUCGAUUUCACAAGCUCCAACCUGGAACCUGCAUACUAUAGUUGGAGCAUUUCCCAAUUUCCCGCGUAUUCUUCUUCGUUAAAACCGGUGUAUGUAGUGAAAUUGGACAUUGCUACUGUCGGCAAGUUGUAUAUAUAUAUAAAAGUUCAAGACCAUCAACAAAAGAGGGGCUUUUUGAUGCGAAAUUCGGCGGAACUUAUCAUAAGAGAAAUAGAACCAUCGAAGAACCGAUAAUCAUCUGGUUGAAGUUUGGAAGUUUUGUGAUCUAGAUGUGAUAUCAAUGAGGGAGUUUAGAUGUUUUCCGAUUGCUACCUACAGGGAUUGAUACUCGGACCAGCAGGGAUUGCUCAUCUGUUUAAUUUGUCCGUGUUGUGGUAAG